rnacentral:rRNA from 1 species
AGCAGCCGCGGUAAUUCCAGCUCCAAUAGCGUAUAUUAAAGUUGUUGCAGUUAAAAAGCUCGUAGUUGAAUUUCGGGGUCAGCAGGUUGGUCGUGCCAAUGGUAUGCACUGGCCUUGCUGAUUCCUCCCUCUUGUAGAACCGUAAUGCCAUUAAGUUGGUGUUGCGGGGAAACAGGACUGUUACUUUGAAAAAACUUAGAGUGUUUAAAGCAGGCUAACGCCUGAAUACAUUAGCAUGGAAUAAUGAAAUAGGACGAUCGAUCCUAUUUUGUUGGUUUCUAGGAUUGACGUAAUGAUUAAUAGGGAUAGUUGGGGGCAUUAGUAUUCAAUUGUCAGAGGUGAAAUUCUUGGAUUUAUUGAAGACUGACUACUGCGAAAGCAUUUGCCAAGGAUGUUUUCAUUAACCAAGAACGAAAGUUAGGGGAUCGAAGACGAUUAGAUACCGUCGUAGUCUUAACCAUAAACUAUGCCGACUAGGGAUCGGAUGAUGUUAAUUUUUAAUGACUCAU